GAAAGAAAUUGGAGAGAACAUAUUUCCAAAGCUUUAUAAUGCACACCAAGUAAAUCUGACGCCAAAGGAUUAGCUGAAGAACAAGCUCCGUGCUGCUCCCUUCCACAUAGUAAGACUAAAGCCAAGAAAAUCAUCCAGGAAACUUAUGGAUGUAGUGCCGCAGGAGAGAUACAUGUCCACAUUUAAAGGUGGCUGGCUUUGAUUCUUCUUACACAUUUGGUGACUGAAGCUGCCCCCGCCCCAUGACUUAAAAGUAUCGAAGAUGGAACACUUGUUCAGUGACUAAGCUAAUUCUGAAGCCUGAUGUGUUUACACAAAGAAUGGAC